UUUAAUAUGGCAGAAUGAGUGCAUUAGAGUUAAGUUCUAAUAAUGAAGAAUAUAUUCUUCUAUUAAAA
rnacentral:tRNA from 1 species